AAGAAACUAAUCAACGUACUGGAUGCUGUUUUCAAGCCUGAAAUUCGCUGAUCCAGAGCAGAAACACUGCGCUUCGAAACGCAGCACCCUGAUAACCACUUAUAGUCAGAACACUUAAUUUAUCCUGAAGGAAACUGCUGAUGUUCCAACUGCACAGAUAAACAGAGAUACAAGUCAACAUGAAGAGCAAAAGACUGGUUGUUUUUACAAACAUAUCUGAAGUCCAGCAGAUGAGGGACAUGUUGAGACUACAGCUAACAACUGCUGAUGAAGGAAUGAUCACAGACCAGGAAGAAGAAAUGAGUCAAUUAAAAGAAGAGAACAAAAGAGAAAUGCAGCCGUUGUUGGAGAUUAAAGAAGAAAUUCUUCCUGAACACCAGGAAUG